rnacentral:rRNA from 1 species
AGUGAACGCUGGCGGUAGGCCUAACACAUGCAAGUCGAACGGCAGCACAGUAAGAGCUUGCUCUUACGGGUGGCGAGUGGCGGACGGGUGAGGAAUACAUCGGAAUCUACUUUUUCGUGGGGGAUAACGUAGGGAAACUUACGCUAAUACCGCAUACGACCUACGGGUGAAAGCAGGGGAUCUUCGGACCUUGCGCGAUUGAAUGAGCCGAUGUCGGAUUAGCUAGUUGGCGGGGUAAAGGCCCACCAAGGCGACGAUCCGUAGCUGGUCUGAGAGGAUGAUCGGCCACACUGGAACUGAGACACGGUCCAGACUCCUACGGGAGGCAGCAGUGGGGAAUAUUGGACAAUGGGCGCAAGCCUGAUCCAGCCAUACCGCGUGGGUGAAGAAGGCCUUCGGGUUGUAAAGCCCUUUUGUUGGGAAAGAAAAGCAGCAGGUUAAUACCCCGCUGUUCUGACGGUACUCAAAGAAUAAGCACCGGCUAACUUCGUG